UUGCUUCAUAUUGUUGAGAGCGUAGACCCGCUACAGUCCUGUCGUGCCCACCCAGUCUCAUCACCGGUCUGACGGACAGACAGAGAGAGGGACAGCGAGCUAGCGACAAAGGGCUGGCCGACCAUGGAGCUCAUCUGCCGGUUGCAGCUAGCAAGCAGGAAGUGUGUCCUUCCGCAAUAGAUGCCACCAUGGAGCUGAGAUAACAUCUUCCUCUUUUCUUCACCAAUCACGGCUCUGGAGCAAGAAUAACUAUGGGAACAUGGCGUGGUCUCCGGGUUGCGUUCAUCCUUGGGUCUUUGUUUAUGAUCCUGCUGAUCAUCGUGUACUGGGACGACGUCGGGGGCUUCAACCUCUACCCGCUGCAGGAGCACAAACACCAGUCGCUGCACUCUAAUUCUCACCCUCAGACGACAACUCGGCCCUCAUACCCUACGUCCACCGGCAGAGCCCAGACCAAUUCUUCCUCCGCCACCCCCACUACUGCUACCCCAGAGGAGACAAGGGGGUCAGCUGAGGAGCAAAUAGAGGAGGAGGGGAAGGAAAAACAAGAACAGAGGAAGGAGGAAACAAGGGAGGAUGAGAAGGUGGAGAGGAGUCAUGCUGCUGUGGAUGAUAGAGAACAGGAGGCGAGGAAGCAGAGGAUCAUGGAUGUGUGUUCAGGAAUGGACGCUGUGGAAUUCCCCGGGAGGACUCGGGCGUUUGAGCAGAUCCCAAACAGGGAACUGGACCACCUGAUAGUGGAUGACACUCACCAGAUUAUCUACUGCUAUGUUCCCAAGGUGGCGUGCACCAACUGGAAGAGAGUGAUGGUGGUUCUGUCUCAGUCUCUGAUCUCGCCCUCCUCAGGAAAACCUUACACUGACCCAGAGGCUGUACCUCCUGACCUCGUGCACAACUCCUCUCUACACCUCACUUUUGCCAAGUUUUGGCGUCAUUAUGGUUCUCUGUCCCGCCACCUGAUGGCACUCAAGCUCAAGCACUACACCAAGUUUCUGUUUGUACGAGACCCUUUUGUUCGCCUUAUCUCGGCUUUCAGGAACAAGUUCGGAAGGCCCAACGAGGACUUCUACAAGCAGUUUGGUUCUGUCAUGCUGCGUCGUUAUAGUAAUGUGUCUGGCAGUUUGCCAGAGACAGCGGCUGAGGCGUUUGCAGCAGGAAUCAAACCGACGUUUCAGCAGUUUAUCACAUACCUGCUGGAUCCAGAGACCGAGAGGGAGAGUAUCUUCAAUGAACACUGGCGGCAGGUAUUUGUCUCACACGGCACUGUAAGAUGAAUGGUUUUUGUGAGAUCACUAGAUGCAUACUAUCCCCUUCUGUUGGUCAUAUGCCACUUCUACAUCUGUUUUUUAAAGACCAUACCAGUAUAAUAUCCACUUAUUGUCAUUACCUAAGAUUCAUUGUCAUUCACUGUCAUUCACACUUUGUGUGUGUCCCAUCUGUAUACUAUAUACAACAGUACUUCUCUGGAGUAUACUUCUAUUUGUGUACUAAUGUUGACAUUGCACUAUUUGGGCAGUUAAUAUACAAUAAGUUAAUGUAUCAUUUUGUUUUAAUGAGAAAAGAUAUAGGGAUGACUUUGGAACAUGACAACAUUUCAAUUUGAAUAUUUGACAAAAAGACAGUAACAUUUCAUUUCUACUGAUCUAUUUCUUAAUUUGUUUUGUCAGCUGUUGGAGCCAUUGCCUUUCUUUUUUUUUCUGGUUGUGAGCAGUUCUUUUAUUUUUUCUGUGUUGUGUUGUUGCAUCCAUCAAUUCCACAUUAAAAAAAUCAAACCAUUGGAGUCUUCAUGCUGGGAUGUUUUAGCAUACAAAUGUGUACCGUCUGUGCCAUCCAUGCCAGGUGAAGUAUGACUUCAUUGGACGACUAGAAACCCUGGAUACAGACGCAGAGCAC